GAUGAACGCUGGCGGCGUGCCUAAUACAUGCAAGUCGAACGAGUUCUCGUUGAUGAUCGGUGCUUGCACCGAGAUUCAACAUGGAACGAGUGGCGGACGGGUGAGUAACACGUGGGUAACCUGCCCUUAAGUGGGGGAUAACAUUUGGAAACAGAUGCUAAUACCGCAUAGAUCCAAGAACCGCAUGGUUCUUGGCUGAAAGAUGGCGUAAGCUAUCGCUUUUGGAUGGACCCGCGGCGUAUUAGCUAGUUGGUGAGGUAAUGGCUCACCAAGGCGAUGAUACGUAGCCGAACUGGGAGGUUGAUCGGCCACAUUGGGACUGAGACACGGCCCAAACUCCUACGGGAGGCAGCAGUAGGGAAUCUUCCACAAUGGACGCAAGUCUGAUGGAGCAACGCCGCGUGAGUGAAGAAGGCUUUCGGGUCGUAAAACUCUGUUGUUGGAGAAGAAUGGUCGGCAGAGUAACUGUUGUCGGCGUGACGGUAUCCAACCAGAAAGCCACGGCUAACUACGUGCCAGCAGCCGCGGUAAUACGUAGGUGGCAAGCGUUAUCCGGAUUUAUUGGGCGUAAAGCGAGCGCAGGCGGUUUUUUAAGUCUGAUGUGAAAGCCCUCGGCUUAACCGAGGAAGCGCAUCGGAAACUGGGAAACUUGAGUGCAGAAGAGGACAGUGGAACUCCAUGUGUAGCGGUGAAAUGCGUAGAUAUAUGGAAGAACACCAGUGGCGAAGGCGGCUGUCUGGUCUGUAACUGACGCUGAGGCUCGAAAGCAUGGGUAGCGAACAGGAUUAGAUACCCUGGUAGUCCAUGCCGUAAACGAUGAAUGCUAGGUGUUGGAGGGUUUCCGCCCUUCAGUGCCGCAGCUAACGCAUUAAGCAUUCCGCCUGGGGAGUACGACCGCAAGGUUGAAACUCAAAGGAAUUGACGGGGGCCCGCACAAGCGGUGGAGCAUGUGGUUUAAUUCGAAGCAACGCGAAGAACCUUACCAGGUCUUGACAUCUUUUGAUCACCUGAGAGAUCAGGUUUCCCCUUCGGGGGCAAAAUGACAGGUGGUGCAUGGUUGUCGUCAGCUCGUGUCGUGAGAUGUUGGGUUAAGUCCCGCAACGAGCGCAACCCUUAUGACUAGUUGCCAGCAUUUAGUUGGGCACUCUAGUAAGACUGCCGGUGACAAACCGGAGGAAGGUGGGGAUGACGUCAAAUCAUCAUGCCCCUUAUGACCUGGGCUACACACGUGCUACAAUGGAUGGUACAACGAGUUGCGAGACCGCGAGGUCAAGCUAAUCUCUUAAAGCCAUUCUCAGUUCGGACUGUAGGCUGCAACUCGCCUACACGAAGUCGGAAUCGCUAGUAAUCGCGGAUCAGCACGCCGCGGUGAAUACGUUCCCGGGCCUUGUACACACCGCCCGUCACACCAUGAGAGUUUGUAACACCCGAAGCCGGUGGCGUAACCCUUUUAGGGAGCGAGCCGUCUAAGGUGGGACAAAUGAUUAGGGUG
rnacentral:rRNA from 1 species